CGGGAUAGCUCAGCUGGUAGAGCAGAGGACUGAAAAC
rnacentral:tRNA from 1 species